AUACGGAGGAUGCAAGCGUUAUCCGGAUUUAUUGGGUUUAAAGGGUGCGCAGGCGGCCUUAUAAGUCAGUGGUGAAAUCUCCCGGCUCAACCGGGAAACUGCCAUUGAUACUGUAAGGCUAGAAUACAGACGAGGUAGGCGGAAUGUAGCAUGUAGCGGUGAAAUGCUUAGAUAUGCUACAGAACACCAAUCGCGAAGGCAGCUUACCAGACUGUAAUUGACGCUAAGGCACGAAAGCGUGGGGAGCGAACAGGAUUAGAAACCCCAGUAGUCC
rnacentral:rRNA from 1 species